rnacentral:rRNA from 1 species
AGUGAACGCUGGCGGUAGGCCUAACACAUGCAAGUCGAACGGCAGCACAGUAAGAGCUUGCUCUUACGGGUGGCGAGUGGCGGACGGGUGAGGAAUACAUCGGAAUCUACUUUUUCGUGGGGGAUAACGUAGGGAAACUUACGCUAAUACCGCAUACGACCUACGGGUUAAAGCAGGGGAUCUUCGGACCUUGCGCGAUUGAAUGAGCCGAUGUCGGAUUAGCUAGUUGGCGGGGUAAAGGCCCACCAAGGCGACGAUCCGUAGCUGGUCUGAGAGGAUGAUAAGCAACAAGGGAACGGAGACAAGGACCAGACCCAGACGGGAGGAAGCAGGGGGGAAAUUUGAAAAAGGGGCGCAAGCCUGACCGAGAAAACGCGCGGGGGUGAAAAAGGCAUUGGGGUUGAAAACCGUUUUUGUGGGAAAAGAAAAAAAGGGGAUAAAACCCCGCAUGUCUUGACGGUACCAAAUAAAAAAGACACGGAAAACUUCGUG